GUCUCUAUAGCUCAGUGGUAGAGCGGCCGCCUGCAGUGCUACGUAGUACCGCCCAGCGGCAGGCCACGUGUUCAAACCACGUUGGGGACU